rnacentral:ncRNA from 1 species
GUUCAAACGAGGAAGGGAUUACGAUGGAUACCUAGGCACCCAGAGAUGAGGAAAGGCGUGGUAAGCGACGAAAUGAUUCAGGGAGUUGAAAAUGAGCAUAGAUCCGGAGAUUCCUGAAUAGGUUAACCUUUUUAACUGCUGCUUAAUCCAUGGGCAGGCAAGAGACAACCUGGCGAAAUGAAACAUCUUAGUAGCCAGAGGAAUUGAAAGCAAAAGAGAUUUCCGUAGUAGUGGCAAGCGAAAUGGGAGCAGCCUAAACCGUGAAAACAAGGUUGUGGGAGAGCACAAUAUAAGCUCUAUGCUGCUAGGCGAAGCGGUUGAGUCUUGCACCCUAGAUGGUGAGAUUCUAGUAGCCAAAAGCAUCAUUGGGUUACGCUCUAACCCAAGUAGCAUGGGGCACAUGGAAUCUCGUGUGAAUCAACAAGGACCACCUUGCAAGGCUAAAUACUCAUGGGUGACCGAUACCGAAGUAGUACCGUGAGGGAAAGGUGAAAAGAACCCCCAUCGAGGAGUGAAAUAGAACAUGAAACUGUAAGCUCCCAAGAAGUGGGAGGAAAAUGAUCUCUCUGAUCGCGUGCCUAUUGAAGAAUGAGCCGUCGACUUAUAGGUAGUGGCUUGGUUAAGGGAACCCACCGGAGCCGUAGAGAGAGCGAGUCUUCAUGGGGCAAUUGUCACUGCUUAAGGACUCGAACCUGGGUGUUAUUGGAUAAAUCGGUAGGUGCAGACACUAACUGAUCUCCCUAGAUCCACCUAGAUCUAGAACAAAACACACCAGAACAUGACGCUUUCCUUAAGUUUUAGAUAUUGAACUUACUAACUAAAGAGGGAUAGGUAACAUACCGUUUAAACGCUGCUUCCUCUCGCCAUCGCCAUCCUAGCUCCAUUCCAACGCUCAUACAAUGAUGAACCUGCAAAAGAACGCAUAAACUCAAUAUAAACCUAUGUAUGUGAUCAAGGAAUCAUACAAUAAAACACAACAAGAUUUAUAGGAAAUAAUCAUAUUACUGUAUCAUAUUAAAUGUGAAAGAGAGAUUACAACCGUGGCCUUGAUGUCGUAAGGUCCCUUCCAACUAUCCUUUGUUCCCCACACACUUCCAUUCCAAGAAUUCUGAGAGCAUAGAUCUGAUAAUAUUCACAAUAUAUCUUGACAAAGUGGCUCAUCUAUCCAAGCUAACAACCUCCAAAUCUCAAUCCAAUCCAAGCUAAUCCCAAAAGCUCCAAACUCCAAAGCUAAAUAUUCUCCAUGAGAGCUCCUCUCCUUUUAUAAGUUGAAGAGCAUAAGGUGAGGAGGUUAGGAUGAUCCCACUAAGUCAUGAAAGUGAGUAAGAUCCAAACCAUUUGGAUGCCACCUCACCAUGGAAGUUUCUCCUUCUAGAAGCAUCGAGAAGAUGCUCGUUUUUCCCACGUAUGAGCAUUCU